CACACAGAGACAAACACCAGCUGAAUGUCCAUGAUGUUCAUUAGAGAUUCCAACAUUAGUCUGUUUUCCACUGCAGGAGCUUUCUGUUCAUUUUGGCUCAUCAUCAAUCUUUGUUCUGACCACAGGAACCGUCCCUGUAGAACCUCUUUCUGGACUGUUUCUAGGAGUUCAAAGUUCCUGCUCCAGGGUUGGAAUUUCUGAGAGAACCUGGAAAACUGCUCUGUAGGUCUUGAUGGUGAGUGAUUAAACUCCGAGGACAAGAAGAACCAUUUUUAUGUCCUCUCCAUCCUCAUCCAGCAUCAGUUGUCUCCAUCAGCAAGCAGGACCUGGUUCUCCUUUAAAAUGAAUAGGAUGAUCCUUAGACCGGUCACUCUGGAAGGACACACAGCUGGAUCUAGGUCCAGGUUCAGGUCCAGAGGACUCUGGUCUCUGAUGGAUUCUGGUAAAUAGAGAGGAAGAUCACCAGGACCUUGUUCUCCUUUAAAGUCAAUAGAUUGAUGCUUAGACCGGUCACUCUUUAAGGACACACAGCUGGAUGGAGGUGGAGGUGGACG